rnacentral:rRNA from 1 species
GACGAACGCUGGCGGCAUGCCUAACACAUGCAAGUCGAGCGAGUAGAUCCCUUCGGGGUGAAGCUAGCGGCGGACGGGUGAGUAACACGUGGGCAACCUGCCUCAUAGAGGGGAAUAGCCUUCCGAAAGGAAGAUUAAUACCGCAUAAGAUUGUAGCUUCGCAUGAAGCAGCAAUUAAAGGAGCAAUCCGCUAUGAGAUGGGCCCGCGGCGCAUUAGCUAGUUGGUGAGGUAACGGCUCACCAAGGCGACGAGGCGUGGCCGACCUGAGAGGGUGAUCGGCCACAUUGGGACUGAGACACGGCCCAGACUCCUACGGGAGGCAGCAGUGGGGAAUAUUGCACAAUGGGGGAAACCCUGAUGCAGCAAUGCCGCGUGAGUGAUGACGGCCUUCGGGUUGUAAAGCUCUGUCUUCGGGGACGAUAAUGACGGUACCCGAGGAGGAAGCCACGGCUAACUACGUGCCAGCCGCCGCAGUAA